rnacentral:rRNA from 1 species
GCGGCGUGCUUAACACAUGCAAGUCGAACGAUGAAGCCCUUCGGGGUGGAUUAGUGGCGAACGGGUGAGUAACACGUGGGCAAUCUGCCCUGCACUCUGGGACAAGCCCUGGAAACGGGGUCUAAUACCGGAUAUGAGCCGGAACCGCAUGGUUCUGGUUGUAAAGCUCCGGCGGUGCAGGAUGAGCCCGCGGCCUAUCAGCUUGUUGGUGAGGUAACGGCUCACCAAGGCGACGACGGGUAGCCGGCCUGAGAGGGCGACCGGCCACACUGGGACUGAGACACGGCCCAGACUCCUACGGGAGGCAGCAGUGGGGAAUAUUGCACAAUGGGCGAAAGCCUGAUGCAGCGACGCCGCGUGAGGGAUGACGGCCUUCGGGUUGUAAACCUCUUUCAGCAGGGAAGAAGCGAGAGUGACGGUACCUGCAGAAGAAGCGCCGGCUAACUACGUGCCAGCAGCCGCGGUAAUACGUAGGGCGCAAGCGUUGUCCGGAAUUAUUGGGCGUAAAGAGCUCGUAGGCGGCUUGUCGCGUCGGUUGUGAAAGCCCGGGGCUUAACCCCGGGUCUGCAGUCGAUACGGGCAGGCUAGAGUUCGGUAGGGGAGAUCGGAAUUCCUGGUGUAGCGGUGAAAUGCGCAGAUAUCAGGAGGAACACCGGUGGCGAAGGCGGAUCUCUGGGCCGAUACUGACGCUGAGGAGCGAAAGCGUGGGGAGCGAACAGGAUUAGAUACCCUGGUAGUCCACGCCGUAAACGGUGGGCACUAGGUGUGGGCAACAUUCCACGUUGUCCGUGCCGCAGCUAACGCAUUAAGUGCCCCGCCUGGGGAGUACGGCCGC